ACUUGACCUCAAAUCGAGUAGGACUACCCGCUGAACUUUAAGCAUAUCAAUAAGCGGAGGAAAAGAAACUAACAAGGAUUCCCCUAGUAACGGCGAGUGAAGAGGGAAGAGCUCAAAUUUUGAAUCUGGCACCUUUGGUGUCCGAAUUGUAAUCUAGAGAAGUGUUUUCCGUGGCGGACCGUGCAUAAGUCUCCUGGAAUGGAGCGUCAUAGAGGGUGAGAAUCCCGUAUAUGGCAUGGACUCCCGUUGCUCUGUGAUACACUCUCGACGAGUCGAGUUGUUUGGGAAUGCAGCUCUAAAUGGGUGGUAAAUGCCAUCUAAAGCUAAAUAUUGGCGAGAGACCGAUAGCGAACAAGUACCGUGAGGGAAAGAUGAAAAGCACUUUGGAAAGAGAGUGAAACAGUACGUGAAAUUGUUGAAAGGGAAACGCUUGAAGUCAGUCGCGCCGUUCGGGAUUCAGCCUUGCUUCUGCUCGGUUUACUUCCCGUUGGGUGGGUCAACAUCAGUUUCGGUCGGAGGAGAAAGACUUGGGGAAGGUAGCAGCAUUCGUGCUGUGUUAUAGCYCCCUUGUUGUAUACUUCGAUUGGGACUGAGGAUCGCAGCACGCCUUUGGCCGGGGUUCGCCCACGUACGUGCUUAGGAUGUUGGCAUAAUGGCUUUAAGCGACCCGUCUUGAAACACGG
rnacentral:rRNA from 1 species